GACGAACGCUGGCGGCGUGCCUAAUACAUGCAAGUAGAACGCUGAAGAGAGGAGCUUGCUCUUCUUGGAUGAGUUGCGAACGGGUGAGUAACGCGUAGGUAACCUGCCUGGUAGCGGGGGAUAACUAUUGGAAACGAUAGCUAAUACCGCAUAAAAUUGAUUAUUGCAUGAUAAUUAAUUGAAAGAUGCAAUUGCAUCACUACCAGAUGGACCUGCGUUGUAUUAGCUAGUUGGUGAGGUAACGGCUCACCAAGGCGACGAUACAUAGCCGACCUGAGAGGGUGAUCGGCCACACUGGGACUGAGACACGGCCCAGACUCCUACGGGAGGCAGCAGUAGGGAAUCUUCGGCAAUGGGGGGGACCCUGACCGAGCAACGCCGCGUGAGUGAAGAAGGUUUUCGGAUCGUAAAGCUCUGUUGUAAGUCAAGAACGGGUGUGAGAGUGGAAAGUUCACACUGUGACGGUAGCUUACCAGAAAGGGACGGCUAACUACGUGCCAGCAGCCGCGGUAAUACGUAGGUCCCGAGCGUUGUCCGGAUUUAUUGGGCGUAAAGCGAGCGCAGGCGGUUUGAUAAGUCUGAAGUUAAAGGCUGUGGCUCAACCAUAGUUCGCUUUGGAAACUGUCAAACUUGAGUGCAGAAGGGGAGAGUGGAAUUCCAUGUGUAGCGGUGAAAUGCGUAGAUAUAUGGAGGAACACCGGUGGCGAAAGCUGCUCUCUGGUCUGUAACUGACGCUGAGGCUCGAAAGCGUGGGGAGCGAACAGGAUUAGAUACCCUGGUAGUCCACGCCGUAAACGAUGAGUGCUAGGUGUUGGAUCCUUUCCAGGAUUCAGUGCCGCAGCUAACGCAUUAAGCACUCCGCCUGGGGAGUACGACCGCAAGGUUGAAACUCAAAGGAAUUGACGGGGGCCCGCACAAGCGGUGGAGCAUGUGGUUUAAUUCGAAGCAACGCGAAGAACCUUACCAGGCCUUGACAUCCCGAUGCUAUUUCUAGAGAUAGAAAGUUACUUCGGUACAUCGGUGACAGGUGGUGCAUGGUUGUCGUCAGCUCGUGUCGUGAGAUGUUGGGUUAAGUCCCGCAACGAGCGCAACCCCUAUUGUUAGUUGCCAUCAUUCAGUUGGGCACUCUAGCGAGACUGCCGGUAAUAAACCGGAGGAAGGUGGGGAUGACGUCAAAUCAUCAUGCCCCUUAUGACCUGGGCUACACACGUGCUACAAUGGUUGGUACAACGAGUUGCGAGUCGGUGACGGCGAGCUAAUCUCUUAAAGCCAAUCUCAGUUCGGAUUGUAGGCUGCAACUCGCCUACAUGAAGUCGGAAUCGCUAGUAAUCGCGGAUCAGCACGCCGCGGUGAAUACGUUCCCGGGCCU
rnacentral:rRNA from 1 species